AACGCGAAGAACCUUACCUGGGCUCGAACGGCUUCGGACAAUCUUUGGAAACAGAGACUUCCCGCAAGGGACUGGAGUCGAGGUGCUGCAUGGCUGUCGUCAGCUCGUGUCGUGAGAUGUUGGGUUAAGUCCCGCAACGAGCGCAACCCUUGUCCUGUGUUGGCAUGCCGUAAGGCGCAACUCUCAGGAGACCGCCAGCGAUAAGUUGGAGGAAGGUGGGGAUGACGUCAAGUCAUCAUGGCCUUUAUGUCCAGGGCCACACACGUGCUACAAUGGGCGGUACAAAGCGCUGCCAACCCGCGAGGGGGAGCUAAUCGCCAAAAACCGUCCUCAGUUCGGAUUGCAGGCUGCAACUCGCCUGCAUGAAGCUGGAAUCGCUAGUAAUGCUAUAUCAGAACGAUAGCGUGAAUACGUUCCCGGGCCUUGUA
rnacentral:rRNA from 1 species